rfam:Camelus ferus unplaced genomic scaffold scaffold88230, whole genome shotgun sequence.
GAGGGUAUAGCUCAGUGGUAGAGUGCACUCUUAGCAGGCACAAGGUCCUGGGUUCAAUCCUCAGUACCUCCA